rnacentral:SRP_RNA from 1 species
GCCAGGCGUGGUGGCGCGUGCCUGUAGUCCCAGCUACUGGGGAGGCUGAGGUGGGAGGAUCGCUUGAGCCCAGGAGUUCUGGGCUGUAGUGCGCUAUGCCGAUCGGGUGUCCGCACUAAGUUUCACAUCAAUAUGGUGACCUCCCGGGAGUGGGGAACCACCAGGUUGCCUAAGGAGGGGUGAACUGGCCCAGGCUGGAAACCGAGCACGUCAAAACUUCCUGUGCUGAUCAGUAGUGGGAUUUUGCCUGUGAAUAGCCACUGCACUCCAGCCUGGGCAACAUAGCGAUACCCUGUCUCU